rnacentral:lncRNA from 1 species
CCGACAAUAAGGGCCAUUUGCCUCAGUUACUAGAAAGCUAAUAAUAGGAACAGACCGAUUUCGACCAUAUUAUAUUCGACCACUUUUUCCUAGUACCUUUAAUGGACAUUUACUAAAGAUAAACCUAGCGUUUACCUAUAUGUUUCAAGGGCUAUAGAUGAAUUCGCUAAAACUAUCCAAACGCUCCCCGGUAAGUCAUGUUUACAUGUUUUUGUUUUACGCAAUAGAUUGCUUUUUUUGGGGUCUUCUUCUUCUGCUUCGAGAACGGUUUCCUACAGUUAAGCCCUUCAUGGAAUUAGAUAAAAGCGUUUUUGUGACUGGGAGCAACUGUUCGUAGCACGUAGAGCGUUAUUACGCAAAAGGUCGCUCUGACAUUUUCUAUUAGACAUGACGCAUAGUGCGUUAUACUCAUAUGGAACGCCUAUCCAUGUUCCUGUUUCUCGUCCUUCUCAGUUGGUUUUUAGUUUUUUCGAAAAUCGCAAGAACACAGUAUCUCCUCGCAUCUUCCUACCUUCGCACCUAGGUCACGCCGCUCUGGUUAAAUCCUGUCGCCUGGCGUAAGCAAAUUACUGUUACAACGGUGUCCGACUGUGGGGAAUCUCGUCAUACCCGAAGUAGAAGCAUUUCGAUGGAAUCACCCAGCUAAAGUUCUCAAAUGCUUGCGCCUACCGCUUUAUGUCGAUGGUGAAACCAACGAAAGUCCGAAAAAGCGAAAAGAAGGCCAAUCUAUCCUGGAUCGAUUUCAUUGUUCAUUUACAUGAUUCUUUUCCCCAUGUAGCUAUUUCGCCAGUUGAGCAUCUGUCUCGCUUCCGCAAGAGGUAUUGACUUUUGUAGAGCGACACGUUCCAGCUUUAGAAGACAAAGAUCAUCAAAUGGCGCGGGCGAGAUGUGCCGUCAGGAGCCAUUGCAGGACAAAUGGGCUAGAGGAUUUUUUUUCUAAAUAAAGUUUGUUUUUAUUUCACGUGAAACAGGUACGUAUUAUAGAUAAGUUAUUAGCAAAUUUGAACUAGAGGUCCAAUCAAUCAAACUUUGACAGCUAUCCAUGACGACUAUUUAUUGAAUUUAAUGGCCGUUUGUAAUAUAAUCAAUGGUCGUAGGAUAUUGUCAUGUGAGCACAUAAAAUCUGCGCGUAAUGUGUUAUGGUAACACUAGCACAACUAUAGGGGUGCAAGAGCGAGCACUCUUUUCGUUCUCGUUAAAAAUUGCGCGUAUAUAAUGUUAAGAUUCUAAAAAUAUGCAACAUAGAUAAACAAAGGAAACAACAAAAGUCCAAGUUUCCACUUUACCACUUCUUUAUUAUCAAGCAUGUGAUAGUUGUUUAGUGAUAAUACAUCAUUUAAUUACUUUUUUAUUAUUAAAAAACAUAUACCAUGUUCAUCAUUACCACUGUUUUGCCUAGUAUCAAAAUCAAUAACAAUACAGGUUACGACUCGCCCGGAUUCACAAUCCCGCCAGCCCUACACAGUCUUCUGCUCGGGCUCCUCCUGAUGCCUCGUCCUGCGUUACUCUAAUACGAUCAGUAAGUCAGCAAUGCAAACCAUUCAUUAGAAUUAAUAGAAGAGGAAGCUUCAAAGCUAAAUCAGCGGGCAAAACUGCUACAGUGGUACCCGAUGACGACACCUUGCAGCUAUUGCUGUUGUUACAGAUAUGUAGACGUACAAACUAACAAAAACCGCUUCCCGUCAACUGUAAAUAAAAUAAAUGAGACGUUCUGUACAUCGGCGGGGCGAGCUGUAAGGACAAACAGGACAAAAAAGCCAGUACCCAAUAGCCGGGUCGACCUGAACGUUUGCCGUAUGCGAGUGCAACGCGCCAUUGAACGUGGGGCGUGCUAUGUGUUUGAUGCGUUCGGACUUUGGGACGACGCUUAGCAAAAUAUUUGGCUCAGAUAAUGCACCAAAGUAAUUUGAUGUGAGUAAGAACACAUCGAAGUGAGCCGCAUGCACCAGCCAGUUACUUGACUCAGUAAUACUUAUUGGGCCACGACUUGUUUACCCCACGAGAUAUAGACCUUGAACCACUUUUGCCCUACCCUGUAUGUAUACAUAUACUAUGUAUGUAUACUUUCAAUCUUCUUUGGUCCCGGCAUCUGGUAUCGAUGAUGCCAUUGUUUUGACAUAUAGGCACCGCUUAAUUCAAUUAUGGUCUUGUAUCGGUGAGCCAGUGUAUUCGGACUGUGCUAAUGGAAGUAAUAUAACGAUAAGCCGGCGACGUCGAUAAAAUACGUUAUGGCAACGAGAAGGGGCUUCGUUCAUGUUGACGUUUACUACAUCUAAUGUAAAUAAGAACAGAUUAUCGCAUAGCGGACUAAAUAAAACAUCAGUCGUAGCGCAGAGGAGCGACGUCAACAUUCAGCGACGCCAUUAUGCUUUAGCGUAACUUCUUAGAGGUCCCCGAUGAAAAGACGGUUGUCCGCACCUACGAAAGAUAUUCUUCAGGUCGCAAACCUACGCUUCGUGAUGCUGCGAUUCGUAGAAAGAAGGACCAACAAAUGGUGAAUAGUAAUGAGGAGAGAGUGAAAGCAAGGGACGCAAAGACUUCGUCGUAAGUGCUUCGUGUUAAUGGAGGGAAGUUGGGCAGGCGUCUGUGAGCGGGAAUGUGGCCCGUCGACGAACGAAAACAACGAACGAUUGCUUAUCCGGUUUUUCCAAAGCGGUAACGUGUUGGCAUCGUAUGACUCGUACGUGCUGCUUCGCACCGGAGGAAGUGCUGUGAAGCACUCCAAGAAACCAAAGCCUUGGCUUCGGGACGCCUUCGGGAUCUAUCAGCCACAAUAGUUCGUCCACGUAGAAAACUGAAGGAUGAAAGAGCGCACGUUACGAUACGGAGUGGAACUUGGCAAACCCAAACGCCUGAAUAACAAUUCAUCGCAAUGAAAAAUUCGAUUAGCCCGAGAGGG